GGCGCAGAGCACACUCCAGGCAGAAAACCACGUUCUCGUUCUCCUGCACGACCUGUGGGAACAGCGGCGGCCGGUCCUGAGAAACGCCUUGGAAAAGAAAGACUAAGGCGGAAGAAAACACAGAUCUUCCCGGACUUCUAAGAGGGCUACACCCCGAUCGAGCCGCUGAGAGCUGAAAACCUCCUAAAGCUGAAACUGCACGUUAGGCAGCUAACCUCCCGGACAGCACGGCUCGGCCGGGCCCCCCUGACGCGUGCUCCCGACAGCAGUCUACGCUGGGCCCAGUCCCGCAGCACAAAGCCUAUGUGACAAGACACCGCUGACUGUCCCGUGUGACUGUUUGAACGCCGUGCUGAGCGUGAGGCCAGAAGGGCUGUAUGGGGCAGAGCGGUUGUGAGAGAAUCGGCCGUUCAGCCUCGUGACUGCAGAGCUGGCUGGGAGCCGCGGUCACCACUGCUCUGCGUCACACGGGGGACCCCGUGGCACAUCGCGGGGGGGGGGGGGGGGGUGAGGGCACGGCUCCAAAGUAAAAAUCCGAGUACAGUUUCCACUAAAUGCCUACCAGCUUUGGACCAUCGUAAAGUGGAAACGUCCUAAGUUGGGAAGCAUCCGUGUGCACGUGUGUGGCCGCUGUGGAUGCCAUUCUAUCCCCCCCACUCCCCGCGCCCCCAAUCAGGUAAGUCCCAACGCCCAGUACCUCAGAAUGGGACUGUAUUUGGAGGCGGGGCCCAGAACGAGGCAACUGGGGUAAAAUGAGGUCACAGGGAGGGUCCGGUCCAAGUAGGACUAGUGUCCUUACAAGAAGGGGUUAAGACCUAGACCCUCCGGGUGAGGGGUGGGGGAGGGCACACGUGAAGAAGACCCGGGGAGACUGUGGCCAUCUGCUCGCCAAGGACCCAGAGGCCUCGGACGAAACCCACACUACCGCCUCCCGGAGCCCAGACUCGCGGCCUCGAGAGCUGGGAGGGGAGGGGAGGGAAGGGACGGUCGUCCAAGCCCCCUGCGUGCGGUGCGGACUAACGCAGUUCUCCCCUUCUCUCAGCCUUCGGACUGCAUGGGAGCAGCUGGGGGUCCCCCACCUCUGCAGGGCACCCGGCCGAGAGCUGGGGGACGCGGGGUGAGGCGGCGUCCUCCAGGCACGAGGCCAGGAGGGGGACAGGGGUGUGCCUGAUGCCCCGUGCCUCGGCGACCACGUGGGACGUCAGUGCCACGGCGGGUGUGAGGACACUAAGCUCCAGUCACUGGAGGGCCGUGAGCACCGGGCAGAGGUGCACGGUUUCCGAUAGCCCUGUGUGGGGGCGGCCACCCCGACGGGCCACACCAGCCCGGCGGCCAUUCCCCUGAGGUGUCCGAGCCCCGCUCUGGCCUGGGACGGCCGUGGGGAGACCCAGUGACGGCACGAACACGGCUAAGCCCAGGGCUGGGCGGGCCGGGGACACCGGCGGGGCCGCUGUGGAAGCCGACGAGGACGGAAGCGGGGCGGACGACCGCAGAAGCAGCAGCUUCCGCCAGAGGCCAGGAGGCUGGAAGCAGGGCUGCUCCCGGGGGGGACCGUCCGUUCUGACCCAAGACAGCCCCAACUCUGCGGGGCAGCGCACUGGACCCCGACCCCGAGGCAAGAGCCGAGGACUCGCGGGGCCCAGGCCCUUCGUUCGGGGGCAGCGGCCGGGGGGGGGGGGGGGGGGGGGGAGGAGGACGGGCAGGAGUGCAGGGCAGAGGAGAGAGGAGCACGGGGCAGGGGCGAAAACCGUCCCGACCCGCGGCCGCACGCCCGGGCUCACCAUGGACAGGUAGCACAGGUGCUGGCAGACCUGACACCUCCUCUCUGACGUCUCCAGCUGCAGCCACUUUCGAGGCUUUUUCUUGCCAUCCGCCAUGGCGCCGUUGCCGUCGUGGCUGCCGUAGCGGGCGGACGAGUGGAGGCCGGCCUCGAACAGCUGCCGCCGCUGCCGCAGCUCCGUGUCCCUGCGCGGACAGAGCGGGGGGCGGGCGUCAGAGCGGGGGCGGGCGUCAGGGCGCCGUCGGGCCCCGCCCCCCGGCCGGAGGGAGUCGCGCACGGGAGGCGGGCUUCGGCUUCGGCCCUGAGCCGCCUCCACCCGUGGGGUCUCCCCUCGGACCGCGGAGGACGGAAGCCAGGACGGGGUCUCGGACUUGGCGGGACCCACGGGCCACAAGCAGAGGCGGUGGGGGAGCUCGACCGCGGCGGGGCGGCGGGAGGGCUGAGUGGGGAGCACCGUGCGCCCAAAUGGACGUGCGGGGCCGGGCUGGGCCCGGGGGCUGCGGGUCCCUCUCCUCUCGGGGGCCACCCCGCCCCCACUCCCUCCCACAGGCGGCUGACGUCCUGUGAGUGCCCCAGCGACACGUACUAACCCCACACAUGAGGCAGCGAGAGAGCAAGAAGAAAAGCCACCACUCUCCCCCAAGUCUCCACCGGCGAGCACCAGGUGGGCCCCGUGGUUCCGAGAGUUGGCCCUUGUCCCGCCGCCCCCCCCCCCUUCCCCCUGUGCGCGGGACCGGCCUCGGUCUGUGGCUCCUGGGCGCUACCC